AGUCAACCUAACUUAUGGACGGGAAUAACCUCGGGAAACUGAGAGUAAUGCCCGAUAGGUCAUGAUGCCUGGAAUGGUUUAUGACUCAAAUGAAUGUCGCCGUAGGAUGGGACUGCGAGCUAUCAGCUUGUUGGUGAGGUAAUGGCCCACCAAGGCUUUGACAGCUACGGGCUCUGAGAGGAGUAGCCCGGAGAUGGGUACUGAGACAAGGACCCAGGCCCUAUGGGGCGCAGCAGGCGAGAAAACUUUGCAAUGCGCGAAAGCUCGACAAGGUUAAUCUGAGUGGUUCCUGCUAAAGGAACCUUUUGUUAGUCGUAGAACCACUGAUGAAUAAGGGGUGGGCAAGUUCUGGUGUCAGCCGCCGCGGUAAAACCAGCACCUCAAGUGGUCAGGAUGAUUAUUGGGCCUAAAGCAUCCGUAGCCUGUUCUGUAAGUUUUCGGUUAAAUCUAUGCGCUCAACGUAUAGGCUGCCGAAAAUACUGCAGAACUAGGGAGUGGGAGAGGUAGACGGUACUCGGUAGGAAGGGGUAAAAUCCUUUGAUCUAUUGAUGACCACCUGUGGCGAAGGCGGUCUACCAGAACACGUUCGACGGUGAGGGAUGAAAGCUGGGGGAGCAAACCGGAUUAGAUACCCGGGUAGUCCCAGCUGUAAACGAUGCAAACUCGAUGAUGCGUUGGCUUAUUGCUAGCGCAGUGUCGCAGGGAAGCCGUUAAGUUUGCCGCCUGGGAAGUACGUACGCAAGUAUGAAACUUAA
rnacentral:rRNA from 1 species